rnacentral:rRNA from 1 species
UACGAAGGGGGCUAGCGUUGCUCGGAAUCACUGGGCGUAAAGCGCACGUAGGCGGAUCUUUAAGUCAGGGGUGAAAUCCUGGAGCUCAACUCCAGAACUGCCUUUGAUACUGGGGAUCUCGAGUCCGGAAGAGGUGAGUGGAACUCCGAGUGUAGAGGUGAAAUUCGUAGAUAUUCGGAAGAACACCAGUGGCGAAGGCGGCUCACUGGUCCGAUACUGACGCUGAGGCACGAAAGCGUGGGGAGCAAACAGG